UCUGAGUGCCUGCGUGUGACCAUUCGUCACACUGACGUUACUGACUGGUAAGAGUUUGGUGGCGAGGGGAAGUGGAGAUGGCCGAGCAUAUCGUCAUUCUGCUGUCUCUGAGCACGGGAGUGUUUGUUUUCCUUCUCCUGAGAUGUCUUAAUCAAGACCUAUCCAGUGAUCUUUCCUCUCGGUUGUUCCUGCCUGAGGGGAUGAUGGGAGCUGCAGCGCUGUGCCUGGGCUCUCCAGGUUGCUAGCCACCAGCCAUGAGUGGCUUUCGAGCACUUGAAAUGUAACUGGUCAGCGUUGAGAUGUGCUGUAUGUGUAAAAUACACUCAGAUUUCAAGAUUUCCUUACUAGGACAAAAGAAUGUAAGAUAGCCCUUUAAUAAUUCUUUUAUAUUGAUUAUGUGAUGAAAUGAUAUUUGGAAAUACUGGAUUAAAUAAAGUAUAUUAUUAAAAUUAAUUUUAUUUGUUUCAUUUUACUUUUUAAAAUAUGGCCACAAGAAAAUUUAAAAAUACGUGUAUGGCUUGCGUUAUGUUUUUAUUGGACAGUGCUCAGGUG
rnacentral:lncRNA from 1 species